rnacentral:lncRNA from 1 species
CCUCGGUGAGCAGCCGCACGCCGGCCAUCUCCUCGACCACCCCCAUCCAGUGCGCGAGCGCCCCGCCGACGGCGAUGUCGAGGAAGCCGAUGGCGUCGCCGCCGAAGAACCUCUUCCCCUCCGGCAGCUGCGCCUCCAGCAGCGUCAGGUUCGCCUUCGUCUCCUUCGCCGACGCCGCCUGCGCCUCGCCGUCCGUCCACAGCGCGAUCCACAGAGGCUUCUUGAACUGCGCACGCAUGUAGCAGAAUCGUCGAGUGAAAACUGAAAUCUGAAAGUUGGAUGCUGAAUUACUGCGGUUGUUAUAUUGUACCUUCUCUUCUAGGAAUCUUGCCCAGAAGCGGGCGUUGGCGCGGGCGAGGGGGUCUACGGGAAGGAGCGGCGGGCCGCCGGGGAAGGCCUCGUCGAUGUACUCGACGAUGACGAGCGAGUCCGGGAUGGAGCGGUGGCCGUGGAGGAGCACGGGGACGGUC